rnacentral:ncRNA from 1 species
GAGGGUGGGCCCCUCGAUGCCGUCUUUCAGGAGAAGGCAUCAAACCACUUCAAGCUGCUGCGUUUAAGAGACGUUGGUGGUGAGCGUUGAAGAAAAGGCGCAGUGAAUGCGUCAGGU